AUGGCGUGUGUUAAAUCGGUGAAAUAUUCGGUGAAGUUCUACGGGAGGAUACUAGAGUCAUUUACCCCAUCUAGGGGUUUGAGGCAAGGUGAUCCACUGUCCCCCUUCUUGUUCCUAUUUGUUGCUGAUGCUCUAUACUCUCUUAUCACAAAUUCAGUUAACAAUGGGGAGUUGAGAGGGGUAUCAAUCUGCCGGGGUGCACCGGUGAUUUCUCAUCUGUUGCUUGCGGAUGAUACCAUGUUACUCUUUGAAAUGUCAACCCAGCAAGCAAGCGUUGUCAAAGGUUUGCUAAACACAUAUACCUCAGCGACGGGUCAACUUAUUAACCCAGGGAAGUGUUCCAUCCUGUUCUCAUAUAACUGCAUGCAGUCGGUGGCGGACGAAGUGAAACAUAUCCUGGAUAUUACUCAGCAGGUUUUUGAGCCUAAAUACUUGGGCUUACCGGUCCGAGAAGGAAGAAUGCAUAAAGGACAGUUUGAGACUAUCCAAGAGAGAUUACGGAAGAGACUUGUUGAUUGGAGCGAGCAGUAUGUAUCGUCGGGCAACAAGGAGAUCUUAUUAAAGGCAGUUGCGCAAGCAAUACCAACCUAUGUCAUGAGUGUUUUCCAUCUUCCUGCUUCGGUUUGUGAUGAUCUCACACGGAUGAUGAGACAAUAUUGCUGGGGUGUGGAGAAUGGAAAAAGGAAGAUGGCAUGGCUCAGUUGGGAAAAAUGGUGCUACCCAAGGAUAGUGGGGGUAUGGGGUUUCGAGAUAGGAGAGCUUUUAACCAAGCAUUGCUUGCUAAACAAGCAUGGAGAUUAUUGGACAGCCCCGAUAGCCUAUGUGCCCGCUUGCUUCGGGCAAAGUAUUAUCCUAACGGGAACUUGUUGGACACAGUGUUCCCUACAUCAUCAUCAGCAGUGUGGAGAGGCAUCACACAUGGCUUGGAGCUGC
rnacentral:rRNA from 1 species